rnacentral:rRNA from 1 species
UACUGUCGGAUAGGAAUAAAAGUUGGGUUGCCCAACUGGGAAUGUACUAUCAAAGGAAGGAUCGGCUAACUACGUGCCAGCAGCCGCGGUAAUACGUAGGAUCCGAGCGUUGUCCGGAUUUACUGGGUAUAAAGGGUGCGUAGGCGGGUUUGUGCUUCAGAGGUUAAAGACCGCAGCUCAACUGCGGGAGUGCCUUUGAUAAGGCAAAUCUUGGAUAUGAGAGGGGUAGGUAGAAUUCCUGGU